CCUACGGGUGGCUGCAGUGGGGAAUAUUGGGCAAUGGAGGAAACUCUGACCCAGCAACGCCGCGUGAAGGAUGAAGGUUUUCGGAUUGUAAACUUCUGUCGCGAGGGAUGAAGAAUGACGGUACCUCGUAAGAAAGCCCCGGCAAACUACGUGCCAGCAGCCGCGGUAAUACGGAGGGGGCGAGCGUUGUCCGGAAUGACUGGGCGUAAAGGGAGUGUAGGCGGCAUAUUAAGGUAUGUGUGAAAGCCCGCGGCUCAACCGCGGAAUUGCACAUAAAACUGGUAAGCUGGAGUGCAGGAGAGGUAAGCGGAAUUCCUGGUGUAGCGGUGAAAUGCGUAGAUAUCAGGAGGAACACCGGCGGCGAAGGCGGCUUACUGGACUGUAACUGACGUUGAGGCUCGAAGGCGUGGGGAGCAAACAGGAUUAGAUACCCGGGUAGUC
rnacentral:rRNA from 1 species